UGGUGUUGCGAAUUAGAAAAUAUUAAGCAUUUUUUUUGUUUAUGAGUUAUAUGUACAAAGUAUGGUAUGAUGAAUGUAACCCUUAAGUUUGAUCUUUGGGUAGUGUAAAAUUAAAAUGAGAUGUUUGCAUUAGCAAAUUAGAAGAUUUAUUAAAUUGAUCAGCUUAGUUAGUUAACAAGAUUCAGCUGAGCUAUAGCUCCGUGGCACUCGCGCCUGGUCUUAGGGGUGGGGUGUUACACUUUCGGCCAGUCAUCACCAUGUGGUUGCUGCGGGGGUCCACCAAAGAUGGAGAAGAAGGCUGAGAUGGUGGAUUAGAAGCUUCUUCACAAUGCA
rnacentral:lncRNA from 1 species